CCCGCACAAGCGGAGGAGCAUGUGGUUUAAUUCGAUGAUACGCGAGGAACCUUACCUGGGCUCAAAUGUAUGUUGACGUAUUCUGAAAGGGAUACUUCUUCGGACAAUAUACAAGGUGCUGCAUGGUUGUCGUCAGCUCGUGCCGUGAGGUGUCGGGUUAAGUCCCAUAACGAGCGCAACCCCUAUCAUUAGUUGCCAUCAGGUCAAGCUGGGGACUCUAAUGAAACUGCCUACGCAAGUAGUGAGGAAGGUGGGGAUGACGUCAAAUCAGCACGGCCCUUACGUCCAGGGCUACACACGUGCUACAAUGGCCGGUACAAAGGGCAGCUACCUGGUGACAGGAUGCUAAUCUCAAAAGCCGGUCUCAGUUCGGAUCGGAGUCUGCAACCCGACUCCGUGAAGCUGGAAUCGCUAGUAACGGCGCAUCAGCUACGGCGCCGUGAAUACGUUCCCGGGUCUU
rnacentral:rRNA from 1 species